rnacentral:rRNA from 1 species
GACGAACGCUGGCGGCGUGCUUAACACAUGCAAGUCGAACGAUGAUGCCCAGCUUGCUGGGUGGAUUAGUGGCGAACGGGUGAGUAACACGUGAGUAGCCUGCCCCUGACUCUGGGAUAAGCGUUGGAAACGACGUCUAAUACUGGAUAUGACUGCCGGCCGCAUGGUCUGGUGGUGGAAAGAUUUUUUGGGUGGGGAUGGACUCGCGGCCUAUCAGCUUGUUGGUGAGGUAAUGGCUCACCAAGGCGACGACGGGUAGCCGGCCUGAGAGGGUGACCGGCCACACUGGGACUGAGACACGGCCCAGACUCCUACGGGAGGCAGCAGUGGGGAAUAUCGCACAAUGGGCGAAAGCCUGAUGCAGCAACGCCGCGUGAGGGGUGACGGCCUUCGGGUUGUAAACCUCUUUUAGUAGGGAAGAAGCGUAAGUGACGGUACCUGCAGAAAAAGCACCGGCUAACUACGUGCCAGCCGCCGCCGUAA